AUAAUUUGCUCUCAUUUUGUUCCUUUUUAAUAAAUAAUAUUGCAACAGCUACAUUUUUAAAAUCUGUUCUAUAAUAUAUGUGGAUUUCCAAGUAGAGUUUGAAAAAUAUAUUUAAAACAAAGAUUGUGUUUACUAUUUUCAUUUGUUGUAUAAUAUUCUAAUUUUCAUUGAUAAACUAAAUGUUAUUAUAUUGUAUUCUUUGGAAAUGCAAUAUUCUCUUUGUGCCUCUGGUCUGUACUCUAAAGAGCCAUUUCACAGACUUCCUAGAAAUAGAGAUGGCCUCAUGCCCUUUGUUGUUAAACUAUUUAUUCUUCACAUGGUUUAAUGUCAGAAUAUCUGUACUGUGAUAUAUAACAAUUCGAAAAGUCCAUCCAUUGACAACCAGGCAAUCAAGGAAGUAGAAAGAAGACUCCUUUUUCAUCUGCUUUCAUUCAUUUGUACCAUAAAUAUUUAAUGAAGACUUAAAAUGUACCAGGCAGUUAUCUAUGCAUGGGAUUAGGAAGCUCCUGCCCCAGUGGAAGGAGCUUCUAGGAGAAGGAGGUCAACAAUAAACAAACAAGUAAAGACAUAUUCUUUUCAAUGGUGAGAAGUACUAAUGGAAAAUAAUAAGAGUGGUGUCGGACAGGAUGUUGCUAUCUUAUACAGAGUGGUCAUGGGAGACUUCUCUCAUAAAAGAACUAAAGAAUAUAAGAGAUCUAGCCAUGUGAAAGGAGAUUUUCAGAAAGAAGGAAGGGCAGGUGCAAAGGACCUGAAGCAGAAGCAUGCUGGGGUGUACAAGGAGUAGCAAAGAGACCAGUGAGAGAGUGGAAGGGGUGAAUUCAGAGAAAGGAGGGCGUAUUUUGUCGAGCCUUUGGCUUUGACCAUGAUAUAGGAAGUUGCUUUGACUCUGAGAUGGGAAGUUGCUGGAACAUAGGAAGGCCAUAACAGGAUUACUCCAGCUGCUGGGCUGAGACUGACAGGAAGGAAGCAAAGUCAGCUGAGAGGGAGUGGGGUAUUGGACCUGGGCGGUGAUAGCGGAUGGAGUACGUAUGACAUAAUCUAGGACAGCAACCUACUUACUAUUAACUCAGUGAACCAAAGCUGAUCUGUGUAUUUCGUGAGUACUUAUAUACAGACUUAGUGCAUGGAUUAUUAACCCAAUAGACCAAAACAGAUCUGACUAUCUUGUAAAUACAUAUUUAGGGACUUUUAACAUGCAGAUUAUUUCAUUGAUGGACUGUAACAGGUCCCUUCAGAGCCACGGCAGACAAGCAAAUGCUUCCACAGCUUGAAACUUGUUCUCUUUAAAAAAUGAUGGCACUUGUUCUCUAAUUAAAAAUGAUAAAUGAGUUUAAUUUUAUUUUUGAGAAAAAAUAAACAUAUAAAAAUUUAACAAUGCACCCAUCAUAAGAGUCAGGGUGUUCCAUGCCACUGGAAUUUCACUAAGGAUUAAGCUUCUCCUUCUUUUAGUUUCAACUUUGUUCAUUUUUCCCCCUAGAGCCAGCUAAAGGUUGAAAUAAAUCAUAAACAGCCCUUAGCAAGUCAGAGGUAGAUCUCAAAUCCAACCUCUACUAGAAAUAAUUUAAAGGGAAAGGUUUUAAGAAACACAGAGAUCUUUUUGCCUGACUCCUAAUAAAGAUAUGUUUGCAACUGCCUGAGUGCAAGGAAGAUGUUGAAUUAUCUACAGCAUUUGCUGUUAACUCUCAAAAGUCAAUGCUAAUGCUGAUAGAGGGGUCAGAAACCAAUACACACAAAAUUUAGAUAGUAUAAAACAUCAUGUUAGUCAAGACAACUUCCUCUUGGCAGUCCUUAUGCAAGGCAUAAGUAAACCCUUGUGCUGUGCUGAGAAGUGUCAUUUUGCAAAAUGUAUUUCCUGGAGCUAGAUCCCUGCAAAUAUGUGCUGAAUAUUUGUGAGAUUUUAGGUAUAUAAUCUCUCUCUUACAUAAAGAAAAGAGAAUCAUGAAUCAGGGAAAUUUUCAUUCAAAAAAUAACAAGAGGAUAAUUAUUAACUAGAUUCUGUCAUAUUUUUUGAGCAACUUCAUGAUUUGUGAAGCCAGUGUUGAAAACAAAACAAGUCCCUAGCAUGAUGCAUGUAUAGAGCUAUAUGGAUCUUAAGGCUCUGAGGGCAGCAGCUUUAUCUGCCUUGCUUAUCAUUGUAUCACAUGGUCUGUUUCACAGUGGGUGCUCAACGCAUAUUUCAUGAAGGAAUAAAUGAGGGUUCCCAUUGGUGUCUGCAUGGACCAACUUCUGAGCCACUCAGUCCCUUUCCUCUUUUCCAUACAAAGGGAAGUGGAAAAGAACUUGGGACCACUGUCCAGUUAUAACAAAUGCCCUCUUGCUUUCCAGCAGGUAUUUGUUCUUGGAGUCAGGAGUUUUAAUCCUAAUGCCAUUUUUGUCUCAAACACUUGUAAGGAAAGGGCAAAGAGGGUGAAAAAUAGGGAGACAUAAGUAAUGUAGUAGAAAGCUAAUGGUCUCCAUGAAAAUUUAUCUUUACUGGCCACCUUAUAAAAUCAUAGAAUCUCAUAUUUGGUAUAAAUUUGGCAUGUUCUCUAAUAAACACUUGUACCCCCUUUAUUACUUGUUGAACAAGGGCUCAAUCAGCAUAUGUGAGAAACACUGCAACAGACAGGGAAAUAAGCGCUUCCCCCACUAGCC
rnacentral:lncRNA from 1 species